rnacentral:rRNA from 1 species
AUGAACCUGAGAGUUUGAUCCUGGCUCAGAGCGAACGCUGGCGGCAUGCUUAACACAUGCAAGUCGCACGCCCUGCAAGGGGAGUGGCGGACGGGUGAGUAACGCGUAGGAAUAUGUCCAGAGGUG